CCGUUAUGUUAAAGAAUCGUAGUUCGUAGUUGCGCCAAGACAAACGAGGUCCUCGCUAACCUAGACAUGAAAAACGACUGAAUCCAUCCAAGUGCGCGGAACCGCUCUAAGCCGAGCGCGCUACGCCGAGCUCGCCAACCUGACCAAAGCAACUACCCGGACGCUAGCUUAGACCUUCGCCGCGAACGCGACACAAGGCACAUCGUGCAUACAAUGAACCAUCACUAAAGUAAAUGCCUUCUACUUACAACUUUUCGAGUUCUUCUACCGUCCACGGCACGCGUGGCCUCCCUUCCCAUCGUACGCGUCCUUCUUCUUCCGACAUGUGUUCUGGUGUUGAUGUCUACUGUUUUCCGAGGUCUCAUGCGACUUUUCUCAUCCUCACUUGUGGUAGGGACCAUAGCUUCUCCAGUUGUAGAAAUUCCUACUACACCAAUAAGUCAAAGAGUUAGGAUUUCACGUUCGAAGCUAACCACGAUUAUGUACCCACCAGUCACCUUGAGGUGUCUGUUUCUUUGACGUUCUAGACGACGGUAGUUAAUAGUUAGUUGAACCAGGACUGUUGAACCUGUUGGACGCCUCCGAACGUCUCGUUAAGGUUUUCGUCCAGGGGCCACCACGACGACCGUAGCUCCGACCACGGUCACGUCCACGACGAGUCCGACUGCUGCUACUACUACAAGGACUCGAACAGGGACCUCUCUGUAAACUUCUCCGGCGACUUCUCUUUUUCCGUCUCAGCACUAAAACUACGUACAAAUGACAACACUUCCCAAUAUUCAAUUCGCCGCGGUAAUCUCUGGUGGAGGGGAAAGUUCUUAAGACUGGAUGGAAUAAACACGGUCACCUGGCCAAAACAGUACAUGCGCUCAAAGCAGACUAUACAACCACCUUAAAACGUAGUUUUAUGUACGGAGAAAACCAACGGGAGUAAGAGUUUAGCACAGAAAUUUUACAAAGUGAG
rnacentral:rRNA from 1 species